GAUGAACGCUAGCGGCAGGCUUAACACAUGCAAGUCGAGGGGCAGCAUAAUGGAUAGCAAUAUCUAUGGUGGCGACCGGCGCACGGGUGCGUAACGCGUAUGCAACCUACCUUUAACAGGGGGAUAACACUGAGAAAUUGGUACUAAUACCCCAUAAUAUCAUAGAAGGCAUCUUUUAUGGUUGAAAAUUCCGAUGGUUAGAGAUGGGCAUGCGUUGUAUUAGCUAGUUGGUGGGGUAACGGCUCACCAAGGCGACGAUACAUAGGGGGACUGAGAGGUUAACCCCCCACACUGGUACUGAGACACGGACCAGACUCCUACGGGAGGCAGCAGUGAGGAAUAUUGGUCAAUGGACGCAAGUCUGAACCAGCCAUGCCGCGUGCAGGAUGACGGCUCUAUGAGUUGUAAACUGCUUUCGUACGAGGGUAAACGCAGAUACGUGUAUCUGUCUGAAAGUAUCGUACGAAUAAGGAUCGGCUAACUCCGUG
rnacentral:rRNA from 1 species